GCGGCGGAAGCCCCGGCACGGCGCGGGAGGUGCCUGCGCACGGCCCCGCGGCGCUGGAGCCCGGGCGGGGCAGGGCCGGGGACAGCGCGAAAGGACGGGGCAGGGCCGGGCACAGCGCGGUGCCAACCUAUGGAGAAGACACCUUCCCACAUCUUAGAAUCACAGCAUGGUGGGGGUUGGAAGGGACCUUUAGGGAUCAUCCAGUCCAACUCCCCUGCAGAAGCAGCUUCACCUAGAUCAGGUCACACAGGAACGUGUCCAGCUGUGAGGUAUGAGAAAAGAUCUCAGCCACUGUCCAGGUGAGGACAUCCUCAUCACCUGGCUGCUCCAGAGCUGGGAGGAGUGAUCAAAACCUUCUGCCUAGAGACUCAACCUGUCUCCACGAUUUUGGAUUUCAAAGCUCUGAACAAACACUUGCUAACUCAGCUUUCAUUUCACUCAGCUGAACAUCCUUCAUGAUUUGCUACUUACACUUCCAAACCCAAAAAGAACUGCAGCAAUUCCAUUUUCCCCAUGAAACUGACCUGAUUUCUUCUCCCUGCUGUCAGAGUAGAGGCCUUUCACAUCUUGCUUGGGAACUCCUAAGCGGCUGUGUACGUCUGAGAUUGGCUCCCGACGGGGAGCAGAGGUGCUGCUUGGAGCUUUAAUUUCUGGAGAAUGGGGUCUUUUGCCCAGUCUUUGCCGUACAUCUAGGAAUAAUUUCAAUGAUUUAAACAACAAAACCCAUGUUGCAUUUACUCCAGUUCUGCCAGCUAAUUUUAAGCUCAUUCACAAUUGAUUUAUUCACAAGUAAUGUGGAUAACAAGAAAUGUCACUCGUUGAAAUGUACCUCCUUUAUCCCCCCCAAAGAAAUCCCUAAGUCAGUCUCUUAGCUAGGAGUUAAAUGUAUGGAUGCAGAAACUGGUGCUGGACAGAAUGCUCUGAGGUCUGUGAGCUGUGGUGGAACACAGAUGUGCAAUCAAUAUAUCCAUUUUAAUGAGCCAGCAAAGAUUCUGCACAGUGCAGGAGUUUGAACUUACCUGAUUUCACAGCACUGGCUGCUUGGCGUGGCCCAGUAUUAUUCUGACGUUUUUCUUCUAGCAGUAGCCUGACAUCAGCAACUUUCUCCAAGGAUCCUUUGCUGCCAAUCCUAUUUUUGAUGUUGCUGGUUGCUAUGCUGUCUGCUCGCAUGGAAUUCCUAAAUCAAACCACAACAGACACAACAUCCCCUCAAUUAAAUGAAAUCUACUCUGGCUCUGAAGGCUUUUUGUAUGUAAAAUUACACCAUGGGAAACUAGUGUCAGGAUUUCUCUGCUGGGAAACAGGUGAAAACCUGACUUGGAAGAGCACGUGUUGCAGACAGAAUCCCACAUUCUGCAAUAAUCACUGGAAUACCUCAGCAUCCAUUUCAAGGCAUCAAGGUAUCAAGUUUGUCUCCCUGAGGCUCUGCCUCUGAGUCAGAGUUCACAGUGGAGAAGCUACCUCUCCAAUGCUCCAAAAGAUUUGAUAUGAUAACAAAGUAUAAUCACAGUGCUGAAGGGAUGCACAUUAAAGCUAUUUUAGUCACCUAUAAUACAUGUCAUUUUGAUCAACAUGCUCAUAAUGAACAUAAACAUUUUGUCAUCAACCCUUAAGGAUUGUUCUUUAUGAGAAAAGGAAGGGGUGAAGGAAAAAGAGAUGUUAUUUCUCCCUGGCCUAGCUCUGAAAUGCAAGAAGUUCAUUGUGCUAGUUUGCAGAAGCUUCUAUUGAUUCCACUCUCGAGCUUCAUUAUGAUCAAUAAGGAGGGUUGCAGCAGUCUGCAAUGGACAGUGCAUUUUAAAAACCUUAAUUAUAAUUAAAAGCCUGUGUCAGUAUUUUCUGUAUUUUCUAUUUCUUCUUUAAAAUACCAACUACCAAGUUGUGUGAAGAACUGGAAAGGUAGCUUUAACAGUUUGCCUUUAAGCACUGACAGUUCUGUCACUAAUGAAACCUAGAACAGCGUUCCACUGGUGCCUUUAAAGAACAAGACACUUUUACCUAAUGUUUUUCAGCUGUGAUUCCACCUCAUCUGCAUACAUUGUCAUUUUCAUGCUCUUCUUGGGAGAGGGUGUGGAGAUCAUUUUCAGUUCCAGGUCGUAGUCCAUUUCAUCAGAAUCAGAGGCGCUGGCACUGGAUCGUCGCGCCGCGCUGCG